GAGCCUCCAUGUGCCGCAGGGUGGCCCUUUUAAAGAAAAAACAGGAAAAAAAAAUCCUAUGCAACUUGCUUUAAUGAUCUUAAGCUAAAUUUUCUGGAUGACUUGCUGCAGCUCCCAUAUCAGCACUUGGUGCUUCACCUUGAACUUUUAUGUUAGAGAAAUGUCUUAUGUUAUCGAAAUGACUUCUUUCCUUAAACCCCAGAAACCAACCUCUGCUAGCUUCAAAUUUUUAUUCUGCUGCUUCCUCACCACUCUCACCCUUCAAAGAAUUGAAGAGCAUUAGGGCCUUGCCCUGGAUUAGGUUUUGGUUUAAACCAGCCACAACAUUUCCUUAAUCUUCUAUCCAGACCACUACACUUUCCCCAAAUCAUCAAUAAAGCUCUUUCGCUUUUGUGUCAUUUGUGUUCAUUGGAGUAGCACUUAAUUUCCUUCAAUAAAUUUUCCUUUGUAUUUACAACUUGGCUAACAGUUGGACCAUAAGCUAGGUCUCUUAAGUCAGUCUUGGCUUUCAACAUGCCUGCCUCACUAAGCUUCAUCAUUGCUAGCUUUUGAUUCAAAGUAAAAGAUGUACAACUCUUCAUUUGAACACUUAGGCCAAUUAAUAAUCUUAUAAUGUCUUUUAAUUUCAAUGGGUCUCAGAACACGGAGGCCUGAGAAGAGGAAGAGAAAUUGGGGAACAGCAGGAAUAAAGGCACACCUUGGAAAAGAUACUGUAUAGGAAUGGAACUUUCCUUUGUUUGUCCAGAUAUCACUCUGAAUUCAGCAGAGCCCACAGGGGAGUCGGGUGAUCCUCAUCUCCAUCAGUCUGGACACGUUCCCCACCAACCACAAAGUCUGACAUUCAUCCUGCUUGAGAAACCAGGACCUAGCAACCACGCCACUUUCUAAACUCUGCACAACUGGUGUUCCUCCAAGGCGGACUCUUUUGCCAAUAACUUGACUUGUAUUAUUUUUAGUGAAAUGCCAUGUAGCAAGCUGCUCCUAAAAUAUUUCCAGUCUGGAAUGAUGUAAAAGACAAAAAUCAAAAAAGAAAACUGGGAGUGGAGGGCAACAGUGGAAAGAGAAGGAGAAUAAUGAAAGAGCACAGGCUUUGGAACCAGCACAGUGUGUGUGAGUUCUGCCUAUGUGCUAAAUGUGUGACUUCAGGAAGUGAGUUAUCUGUGGCCUCAGUUUCCUCAUCUGUAGCAUCAUCUCAAGCAUUCAUUAACCUUAUUUUUACUAUUAGAAGGUCCAGUGCUCUUCAGAUGCCUAUAGCAACAUGAUUCCAUGGUAUUUUCAAGAGAACCAAGGUACCAUAUUAAUAGUCAGUCAUGGUCACAAACCGUUAAAGGAGGGUUUUUAAACUUGAGUAUUUCAAGUUGAAUUACUCUCAACUAUUGUUUGUAUUAGGGAACAUUCAAUCAGAAGUAGAAAUAUUGUGUGUGUGCACAUACACAUCACAUGCAUGUGUGUGGACAGAAACAGACAAAGAUACUUGACAUAGAGAGUUCACUGUAUGUACCUGUGGGAUCUGGUUCAUCAGUCUAUGUAAACCUUUCUCUUCCCAUCUGACACUGGAGCUUGAAGCCAGAACAGGCCAUCAGGAAGGGACAGUGGAUGGAGGGUGAGGGGAGAGCAAGGACAGUCUAGAACCCACAAAUAUGAGCUGAAGCCCUCAAGGACAGACCAAGACUUACCUCAGUUCUCCCUACCCCUGUCCUACAGCAGUGGGGCCCCUCAGUCAUGGGACACACAGGCAGUCCGGGAGUCAGAUAAGCUAAAGGCAAGCCACAGGAGAAGGUAGGCAGUUGUAGCUGCACCUGCAGCUUCAUUGCCCACAAGGUGGGUGAGAAAGCAAAUUGAUGACAAUGUACAUAAACUAUAAGAUGAUGGUUGCCUCGCUUUGCCCUCCAAAUAUCCCACUAAAAUCUCUUCUGUGGCCACCCUCAAAGGAGAGGGGAUUCUGGGAAAUGUCAUUCUGCUGAGUCAAUUGUCAGCACUUUACAAAACCACUGGAGUGUUAUUAUUACCAUAGGUGUUUACUAACCUGACAUGUGCCCAGCACAGUACCAACUGCUUUACCUUACUUAUUUCAUCUCUUUUCACACCACCCCACAAGUCUGUCUAUCACAGGUGAGGAAACUGAGGCCAAGAAUUCUUUUUGGGUAACUUGACCAAAGUCAAAUGAGAUUUAUUUAUAAGUGAUGCACAGCUAAGUUUUGGAGCUUGUGUCUAUAGAAAUGAGAUUUUCUAUAGCAAUAGAAUUCCUCUCUAAAACAGCUUAGAUGAUAACUGCAACAGAUAAUCAUCAUGAAGCUCCUAUUCCUGCUCUUGUUAAAAAUAAUAGGGCAAGACUGGCCCAAGGCACUGAUGUACCUGGCAAUAUUACACUCCUGGAAUCCUAUGAAAGUGAAGUAAUUUUCAGGUACUGUUUAUAUAUAAAUAUUACUUUCUUAAGAAUAACAUAGGUAUCAACACCAAAUGGAAUUAUUCCUUAGGCUCAUUUCAUUUCAAAAGCUAUACAUUAAUUUUAGUUCUAAAUGUAAGUCAUAGCAAGUAUACCUUCAUCUUAUAUGUGGGCAUGCAAUUUGCAUCCAUUUGCACUGAAUUUAAUAAGAAUUUCAAUGGAAAUCCUCACUGCCACUUAGUUAAGAGUAAUCAAUACUGGGAGGCUGAGAUCCCUGCAGGCAACCAUGGGAUGCCACCCACACAGGCAAAAAUCCCAACUUACUAGUUAAAAGCUGGCUAUAAAGAAAAUGUGAGGUAAUUGCUGAGUAAGAUACAGAUCCUGCUGCAGAUAAUAGCUAUAAAAUCUGGACAUAAUGUAAAAAAUAGGUAGCUAAAGUCACUAGAGUGAAGUGAUAUAACCUGAUUCUUACGGGGAGUUCAUGCUCAUAAGAAAGGAGUUCGAAGUGAGUUUCCAUUAUUGUCCUUUUAGCCUGGGACCAGGUAUGGUCAGCAGGGAUUCAGUGACAGUGGGAGCACAGGUGAAAAAGCUGCAGUCUUUUUGUCCUUGGAAUUCAAAAGACCAAAUCUGAGGAAACCAGUCACUGAAGAGAUAUGGGGAGGCUUAUCAAAAAAUGGUCAGAGAGGGAUUCUCCAAAUUCUGUUUGGCUCUUGCUCUUAAUCUUAAACCAUUCUUGUGCAGAACAGAUGCCGAACAGAUUGGCUAGGACAAGAGAGAUUAACUGAGUUUGGACCUGCUACAUUUAAAAAAAAAGUUUUUACUUCUAGCACAAACCAAGACAAUUUCUUAAACCACACUUAUCAGAGAAAAGUAUUAGAAUCCACUCUUUACAACUUUCAUAAUGUCCUGGUUAUAAUCAACAUUACCUGACUGAAGAAGAAAAAUGGAAUGCAUGUUUUUCUUUUUAAAAACAAGACUAUUUUUUUCAAACAGUGAGUGUGUUAGUGGUACAAUGGUAUUUUUUUUUUAAACCCAUACUCUUAAGAGAAAAAAAAAUUAGCCCUAACCUAAUCCAGAUGUUGGAUUUAGCAUACAAGGAUUUUAAAGCAGCGAUUAUGACUCUGAAGUUCUUUAUAAAAAAAAAAUGUUCAUAAUGAAAGGAUAGGAAAUUUCAGCAAAGAUAUUAAAUCAACAAAAAGAACUAAAUGGAAAUUCAAAAACUGAAAAAUACAAUAUCUGAAAUAAAAAAUUAUCAGAUGGACUCCAGAGCAGCGUGGCAAUGACAGAGAAAAGGGUAAGUGAACCUGAAGUUAGAUCAACAGAAAUUAUGCAAAAUAUCAGAAAAAAAGGAUUUUUAAAUGAGCAAAACUUCAAAGACCUAGUAAAAUUGUAUCGAAUGGUCUAAUAUACGUGUAACUAGAACCCCAUAAGGAAAGAAGAGGGAAAACCAGGCAAGAAAAACAAAAUUUGAAAAAAAUAAUGGCCAAAUUUAAUGAAAUAUAAAUGUACAACUCAGUGUGCUCAAAAAAUGCCAAGCAUGACAAACAUCAGGAGGCUUUGUUUUGGAACAUCAUAAUCAAACUAUUGAAACCUGAAUAUAAAGAGCCAAACUUGAAAAAGCAAGAGAAGAAUGACAGUUGACACACAGGGAACAAUCACUGGGUAUCAGGCAGGACAUUCUGAGGGCUUGGAGAUCACCUCACAGGAGCCAAGGUCAAAGGCCAGACUUCUCCUAGAGCAAGACUAAGUCAUUACUGCUCAUUGUCUAAAGCCAAAAUAUAAUGUUGUGUUGACAAUGGAUAUAGAUGCAGCCUAGAAGAAAAAGAUAUAUAUCUAUGGGUUGAAAGAGUGCUGUGUUUUAUAUGAAAUAGUAUAAGGUUAGUUGUAAUGUGGUCUAUAAAAAGCUCAAGAUAUACUGUAAUCCAUAAAACAGCCAAAAGAUGCAAAGAAGCACAGUUUAAAAACUGGUGUUAACAUUCAAAUGAAGUUCUAAAAAACUUCAAAUAAUCCCAAAAAUACAAAGAGAAAUAAACCCUAUUUUCAAGAGCAUCAGAAAAAUAAAAUAUUUAGGAAUGAAUGCAAUAAUAGUUAGACCUAUACAGUAAGAAUUAGAGAACAUUUUGAAGGAAAUUAAAGAUCUAAAAGAAUGAAAGGUUUCCAUAUUCAGCAAUUAGAAGACUUAUUAAGAUCCUUACCCAAAUUAUCUAUAGAUUCAAUGUAAUUUCAUUGAAAAUCCCAUCAGACUUAUUUUGAAGAUACUUUUAUUAUUAUUUUUUUUAGGGCUGUGGCAUAUGGAGGG